rnacentral:lncRNA from 1 species
AGUGUUUUUCGAAAUUAUUUGUGUGUUGUGAUGUGUUAGGAGAAGAUCGUGUGGCGAUUGGUUCUCCAACAAACUGGGUUCGUUUUAAGCUAUGGAUUUGUUAAGGGGUAUGGGGUUUUGCCAUUGCAGGAGUUGUUUGCUUCUAAUAUUGGGUUUGUUUGACGUUGGUUUAUUAAAUUAGUCACCUAGAUUGGUAGAAUUUCGGGUACUAAUCAGUGUUAAUUGUCAAUCUAGGUACUGGAAUACGUGAUUUUUUGGGCCUUCAUUAGAAUUUGACCAGAUAUGUAACGAAUAC